UACGAAGGGGGCUAGCGUUGUUCGGAAUCACUGGGCGUAAAGCGCACGUAGGCGGAUCUUUAAGUCAGGGGUGAAAUCCCGAGGCUCAACCUCGGAACUGCCUUUGAUACUGGGGAUCUCGAGUCCGGGAGAGGUGAGUGGAACUGCGAGUGUAGAGGUGAAAUUCGUAGAUAUUCGCAAGAACACCAGUGGCGAAGGCGGCUCACUGGCCCGGAACUGACGCUGAGGCACGAAAGCGUGGGUAGCAAACAGG
rnacentral:rRNA from 1 species